GAUGAAGAACGUAGCGAAAUGCGAUAAGUAAUGUGAAUUGCAGAAUUCAGUGAAUCAUCGAGUCUUUGAACGCACAUUGCGCCCCCUGGUAUUCCGGGGGGCAUGCCUGUCCGAGCGUCAUUGCUGCCCUCAAGCACGGCUUGUGUGUUGGGCCCCGCCCCCCGGCUCCCGGGGGGCGGGCCCGAAAGGCAGCGGCGGCACCGCGUCCGGUCCUCGAGCGUAUGGGGCUUCGUCACCCGCUCCGUAGGCCCGGCCGGCGCCCGCCGGCGACCCCCCUCAAUCUUUCCAGGUUGACCUCGGAUCAGGUAGGGAUACCCGCUGAACUUAAGCAUAUCAAUAAGCGGAGGA
rnacentral:misc_RNA from 1 species